AAAGGAAUUUUGCUUAUUGCACCACAUGUGUUUUUCUUUGAAACAAACUUGCUUUGGCGGUGGGCCCAGCCUGCCGCCAGAGGUCUAAACUUACAACCAAUUUUUUAUCAACUUGUCACACCAGAUUAUUACUAAUAGUCAAAACUUUCAACAACGGAUCUCUUGGUUCUCGCAUCGAUGAAGAACGCAGCGAAAUGCGAUACGUAAUAUGAAUUGCAGAUAUUCGUGAAUCAUCGAAUCUUUGAACGCACAUUGCGCCCUCUGGUAUUCCGGAGGGCAUGCCUGUUUGAGCGUCGUUUCUCCCUCAAACCGCUGGGUUUGGUGUUGAGCAAUACGACUUGGGUUUGCUUGAAAGACGGUAGUGGUAAGGCGGGAUCGCUUUGACAAUGGCUUAGGUCUAACCAAAAACAUUGCUUGCGGCGGCAACGUCUACCACGUAUAUCUUCAAACUUUGACCUCAAAUCAGGUAGGACUACCCGCUGAACUUAAGCAUAUCAAUAAGGCGGAGGAA
rnacentral:rRNA from 1 species